GGGACUGUCAGGUUUCUACAUAUUUAUAAAUGCUACUAAGUUAAUAGAGGGUAUGUUAUCUUUUUAAGAUACACAUUUAUUUCAUAAAUGCAAAACAUCAAAUUCAGCCUUUAUCUAAAAAUCUUGUAUUAAUUUAAUACUUUAUUGAUAUCAAGUUUUUAUUGUUAGUUCAAUUAAUUAUAAUCCUCACUAAUUUUUUGUACUUUUUGAUAAGGAUUCUCUUAAGAUUAUUUAUAUAAUAAUUUUAAGUUUAGUAUAUAGAUUAAUCUCUUUAAUUAUUGCCUCUAAUUUACAUUGCCAUUAAAAAAAAAUUUUUAUUUUUUAUUAAUCAAUGUAAUAUGCUAGUAUGCGUUAUAGAUAUGGACGUGGGUUCAAAUCCCACCAGUUCCA
rnacentral:tmRNA from 1 species